CAGCCGCCGCGGUAAACGAAGGGGGCUAGCGUUGUUCGGAUUUACUGGGCGUAAAGCGCACGUAGGCGGACUUUUAAGUCAGGGGUGAAAUCCCGGGGCUCAACCCCGGAACUGCCUUUGAUACUGGAAGUCUUGAGUAUGGUAGAGGUGAGUGGAAUUCCGAGUGUAGAGGUGAAAUUCGUAGAUAUUCGGAGGAACACCAGUGGCGAAGGCGGCUCACUGGACCAUUACUGACGCUGAGGUGCGAAAGCGUGGGGAGCAAAUGGGAUUAGAGACCCCCGUAGUCCCUGUCUCUUAUACU
rnacentral:rRNA from 1 species